AGCGUGACCCAGGAAAGAGUGGACUAAAAGACGGUCACCUGGCUGAAGGGCUGAGUUCCCAGCCAAAAAACUGCCCUAGCGACUAUCGGCGAGGGUGCUAGCCUAGCAAGAAAGCUGUGACACCAGGCCUGGCCAGGAAGGGGCACCUAUUGGCUCUGAACAAGGCCUGCCCAGACCCAUGGAUGCCAUGCUGAAGAGCUCACUGACUGCAACCCCCAGCACAGACAAACUCCAGCACAUCUUGGAGAACCCUGAUUGUCACCAUUCAUUGAGGAGCUGAACACCAGAUGGGAGCUGAGAGAUUGUCCUUGGUAGGCCAUGUCCUGGUGUGUGAUGGAGCUGUGUGCCAGAGAGGGCCAGGAGCAGAUGCCCACGCAUGGCCAGGACCGUGCUAAACAGCCUGUAAUGCCAGUCAGCUAGUGAUACCAGCUUGCAGUAUGUGGAAGAGCCGUUUGGUAAUGGGUGGAGGAUUCACCAUGUAAGUGGCAGCAGCUGCAGUGCCUGGAGUCCCCAUGGGCCAAGCCUCCACUCCUGACACUCCAGGCUAAUCUCCCACUGCUCUCAGGGGGCUUUGGCUUUAGCUGCUGGGCCUGAGUGGCCAGACAGAGGACUCAGGAAUUUCCAUCAGGCUGCUCAAUGGCAAAUGCAGCCAUCCAAAGAAUUGAAGAAUGCAAGCAAAAGAGCAAAGCUGGACCAUCCGCUGAGCUGCUGCAAUCAAGUGAGCAGAGCCAGGUAGAGAAGAGGGAGAACUUGAAUGUGGCUGGUGGCUGCAGGGAAGAAAAGCAGUUUGGGAGCCAGGA